rnacentral:rRNA from 1 species
UACAGAGGGUGCGAGCGUUGUCCGGAAUCACUGGGCGUAAAGGGCGCGUAGGCGGUCUGCUAAGCGUGUGGUGAAAGCCCGGGGCUCAACGCCGGGUCGGCCGUGGAUACUCUCGGGCUUGAGCUUACUAGAGGCAGAUGGAAUUCCGGGUGUAGCGGUGGAAUGCGUAGAGAUCCGGAAGAACACCGGUGGCGAAGGCGGUCUGCUGGGGUAAUGCUGACACUGAUGCGCGACAGCGUGGGGAGCAAACAGG